UUUUUUUUUGAAUAUCAGGAGGUUCUGGGCCGAAGCCCGUAAUUCCUUUAGGCCCGAAACCACAUCAUGUAAUAUUAGUUUCGUUCCAAGUGUCACUCGAACUUGCGAUCUCUCAGCUUCGCCUAGGGUCUUUUUGGAUAUGCUUAAUUCAAAAUAACUACCACAUCUCUUGAUUGUUCAUCUUCCUUUCAAUUUAACUUGGCGA
rnacentral:sRNA from 1 species